CGGGUGAGUAACACGUGGGCAAUCUGCCCUGCACUCUGGGACAAGCCCUGGAAACGGGGUCUAAUACCGGAUAAUACCUGCCGAGGCAUCUCGGUGGGUUGAAAGCUCCGGCGGUGCAGGAUGAGCCCGCGGCCUAUCAGCUUGUUGGUGGGGUGAUGGCCUACCAAGGCGACGACGGGUAGCCGGCCUGAGAGGGCGACCGGCCACACUGGGACUGAGACACGGCCCAGACUCCUACGGGAGGCAGCAGUGGGGAAUAUUGCACAAUGGGCGAAAGCCUGAUGCAGCGACGCCGCGUGAGGGAUGACGGCCUUCGGGUUGUAAACCUCUUUCAGCAGGGAAGAAGCGCAAGUGACGGUACCUGCAGAAGAAGCGCCGGCUAACUACGUGCCAGCAGCCGCGGUAAUACGUAGGGCGCAAGCGUUGUCCGGAAUUAUUGGGCGUAAAGAGCUCGUAGGCGGCUUGUUGCGUCGGAUGUGAAAGCCCGGGGCUUAACCCCGGGUCUGCAUUCGAUACGGGCAGGCUAGAGUUCGGUAGGGGAGAUCGGAAUUCCUGGUGUAGCGGUGAAAUGCGCAGAUAUCAGGAGGAACACCGGUGGCGAAGGCGGAUCUCUGGGCCGAUACUGACGCUGAGGAGCG
rnacentral:rRNA from 1 species